UACGGAGGGUGCGAGCGUUGUCCGGAAUCACUGGGCGUAAAGGGCGCGUAGGUGGCGCGGGCAGUCAACGGUGAAAGUUCGGGGCUCAACCCUGAAUCGGCCGUCGAUACUCCCGGGGCUGGAGCACUGUAGAGGCUAAUGGAAUUCCGGGUGUAGCGGUGGAAUGCGUAGAGUAUCCGGAAGAACACCGGUGGCGAAGGCGGUUACUGGGCAGUUGCUGACACUGAGGCGCGGACAGCGUGGGGAGCAAACAGGGAUUAAGAUACCCUU
rnacentral:rRNA from 1 species